rnacentral:rRNA from 1 species
UACGUAGGGGGCAAGCGUUGUCCGGAUUUAUUGGGCGUAAAGAGCGUGUAGGCGGCCAGGUAGGUCCGUUGUGAAAACUGGAGGCUUAACCUCCAGCUGUCGAUGGAAACCAUCUGGCUAGAGUCCGGAAGAGGAGAGUGGAAUUCCUGGUGUAGCGGUGAAAUGCGUAGAUAUCAGGAGGAACACCUGUGGCGAAAGCGGCUCACUGGACCAUAACUGACGCUGAUGCACGAAAGCUAGGGGAGCAAACAGG